GGGCGACUAGCUCAGCGGUAGAGCAUUCGCGUCACAUGCGAAGGGUCGUAGGUUCAAUCCCUACGUCGCCCACCA
rnacentral:tRNA from 1 species